UACGUAGGGUGCAAGCGUUGUCCGGAAUUAUUUGGGCGUAAAGAGCUCGUAGGCGGUUUGUCGCGUCUGCUGUGAAAACCCGAGGCUCAACCUCGGGCCUGCAGUGGGUACGGGCAGACUAGAGUGCGGUAGGGGAGAUUGGAAUUCCUGGUGUAGCGGUGGAAUGCGCAGAUAUCAGGAGGAACACCAAUGGCGAAGGCAGAUCUCUGGGCCGUAACUGACGCUGAGGAGCGAAAGCAUGGGGAGCGAACAGG
rnacentral:rRNA from 1 species